rnacentral:rRNA from 1 species
AUUGAACGCUGGCGGCAUGCCUUACACAUGCAAGUCGAACGGUAGAGUAGCAAUACUCGAGAGUGGCGAACGGGUGAGUAACAUAUCGGAACGUGCCCAAUCGUGGGGGAUAACGUAGAGAAAUUUACGCUAAUACCGCAUACGAUCUAAGGAUGAAAGCGGGGGAUCGCAAGACCUCGCGCGAUUGGAGCGGCUGAUAUCAGAUUAGGUUGUUGGUGAGGUAAAAGCUCACCAAGCCGACGAUCUGUAGCUGGUUUGAGAGGAUGAUCAGUCACACUGGAACUGAGACACGGUCCAGACUCCUACGGGAGGCAGCAGUGGGGAAUUUUGGACAAUGGACGCAAGUCUGAUCCAGCCAUUCCGCGUGCAGGAUGAAGGCCCUCGGGUUGUAAACUGCUUUUGUACGGAACGAAAGGUUUCUAUUAAUACUAGGAGCUCAUGACGGUACCGUAAGAAUAAGC